rnacentral:rRNA from 1 species
CCUACGGGAGGCAGCAGUGGGGAAUAUUGGGCAAUGGGCGCAAGCCUGACCCAGCAACGCCGCGUGAAGGAAGAAGGCUUUCGGGUUGUAAACUUCUUUUGACAGGGAAGAGUAGAAGACGGUACCUGUCGAAUAAGCCACGGCUAACUACGUGCCAGCAGCCGCGGUAAUACGUAGGUGGCAAGCGUUGUCCGGAUUUACUGGGUGUAAAGGGCGUGUAGCCGGGUUGACAAGUCAGAUGUGAAAUCCUGCGGCUUAACCGCAGAACUGCAUUUGAAACUGUUGAUCUUGAGUACUGGAGAGGCAGACGGAAUUCCUAGUGUAGCGGUGAAAUGCAGAGAUAUCGCGCAGAACCCCGAUUGCGAAGGCAGCGUGCCGUGCCGCCACUGACGCUGAGGCACGAAAGCGCGGGGAUCGAACAGGAUUAGAUACCCGUGUAGUC